rnacentral:rRNA from 1 species
GACCGCGAGGUGGAGCAAAUCUCAAAAAGCCGUCCCAGUUCGGAUCGCAGGCUGCAACCCGCCUGCGUGAAGUUGGAAUCGCUAGUGAUCGCGGAUCAGCAUGCCGCGGUGAAUACGUUCCCGGGCCUUGUACACACCGCCCGUCACACCAUGAGAGUCGGGAACACCCGAAGUCCGUAGCCUAACCGCAAGGGGGGCGCGGCCGAAGGUGGGUUCGAUAAUCGGGGUGAAGUCGUAACAAGGUAUC